rnacentral:rRNA from 1 species
GUGCCAGCCGCCGCGGUAAUACGAAGGGGGCUAGCGUUGUUCGGAAUUACUGGGCGUAAAGCGCACGUAGGCGGAUUUGUAAGUCAGGGGUGAAAUCCCGGGGCUCAACCUCGGAACUGCCUUUGAUACUGCAAGUCUCGAGUCCGAUAGAGGUGAGUGGAAUUCCUAGUGUAGAGGUGAAAUUCGUAGAUAUUAGGAAGAACACCAGUGGCGAAGGCGGCUCACUGGAUCGGUACUGACGCUGAGGUGCGAAAGCGUGGGGAGCAAACAGGAUUAGAAACCCCAGUAGUCC